rnacentral:piRNA from 1 species
UGUAUUGCUGAUACUGUUAGC